rnacentral:lncRNA from 1 species
CCAAAAAGUGUCGGGAAACUAAAAGAGACAGUCUCUGGGGCUGCAGUUAACCAAAGUGAGGGGGCAUCUGAGAUUUAGUUGUUGUUGGAAGACAAUGGGAAUGAGAGCAAGAAGGAGCCUCUUAAACACAAACACGUCCUGUGUUCACCAGAAUUAGGACUCUCUCUUCCCUUUAGUGGAGGUGGCUGUAUGCACCAGACUGGAAUCUUCAACACUAAUUGCUGA